UCUCCGCUUGCGCGGGCAGUCUUUUUAGAGUCCCCAGCUUGACCUGUUGGCAACUAAAAAUAAGGGUUGCGCUCGUUGCGGGACUUAACCCAACACCUCACGGCACGAGCUGACGACGGCCAUGCAGCACCUGUGCAUGGACUCCGAAGAGGGCCUGCCGUCUCUGGCAGGUUUCCCAUGCACGUCUAGCCUAGGUAAGGUUCUUCGCGUUGCGUCGAAUUAAACCACAUGCUCCACCGCUUGUGCGGGCCCCCGUCAAUUCCUUUGAGUUUUAGCCUUGCGGCCGUACUCCCCAGGCGGGGCACUUAAUGCGUUAGCUACGGCGCGGAAAACGUGGAAUGUCCCCCACACCUAGUGCCCAACGUUUACGGCAUGGACUAC
rnacentral:misc_RNA from 1 species